rnacentral:rRNA from 1 species
UACAGAGGUCUCAAGCGUUGUUCGGAUUCAUUGGGCGUAAAGGGUGCGUAGGUGGCGCCGUAAGUCAGGUGUGAAAUUUCGGAGCUUAACUCCGAAACUGCAUUUGAUACUGCGGUGCUUGAGGACUGGAGAGGAGACUGGAAUUUACGGUGUAGCAGUGAAAUGCGUAGAGAUCGUAAGGAAGACCAGUGGCGAAGGCGGGUCUCUGGACAGUUCCUGACACUGAGGCACGAAAGGCCAGGGGGAGCAAAACGGGG